GACGAACCGUGCGAACGUUGUUCGGAAUCACUGGGCUUAAAGGGCGCGUAGGCGGACUGCCAAGUCCGGGGUGAAAUCCUCCGGCUUAACCGGAGAAUUGCCUGGGAUACUGGCGGUCUUGAGGGAGGUAGGGGCACGCGGAACUUCCGGUGGAGCGGUGAAAUGCGUAGAUAUGCGGAGGAACACCGAUGGCGAAGGCAAUCCCCUGGGCCUGCACUGACGCUCAUGCACGAAAGCGUGGGGAGCAAACAGG
rnacentral:rRNA from 1 species